UCGUGCUAGGCGGGGAGGUAGCGGUGCCCUGUACCCGCAAUCCGCUAUAGCGGGGCUGAAUUCCCGCCCGAGGGGGGGCUUUGUGGGGUCUGCCCCCGGUACGGAGCGAUGAGGGUCGGGACCCGCGCAACAGGAGCUUGUGAACCCCGUCAGGUCCGGAAGGAAGCAGCGGUAAGCAAGAGGGCCUGUGUGCCGCGGGCCAGCCUGGCUCGAGCCACCGGCCGGGGUUACGCCUGGAAGGCCCGCUUCGACGGCGGGUGCACGA
rnacentral:SRP_RNA from 1 species